rnacentral:rRNA from 1 species
UUCCAGACUCCUACGGGAGGCAGCAGUGGGGAAUAUUGCACAAUGGGCGAAAGCCUGAUGCAGCAACGCCGCGUGAAGGAAGAAGGUCUUCGGAUCGUAAACUUCUGUCCUUGGGGAAGAUAAUGACGGUACCCUUGGAGGAAGCCCCGGCUAACUACGUGCCAGCAGCCGCGGUAAUACGUAGGGGGCAAGCGUUAUCCGGAUUUACUGGGUGUAAAGGGAGCGUAGACGGCAAUGCAAGUCUGGAGUGAAAGGCGGGGGCCCAACCCCCGGACUGCUCUGGAAACUGUAUAGCUGGAGUGCAGGAGAGGUAAGUGGAAUUCCUAGUGUAGCGGUGAAAUGCGUAGAUAUUAGGAGGAACACCAGUGGCGAAGGCGGCUUACUGGACUGUAACUGACGUUGAGGCUCGAAAGCGUGGGGAGCAAACAGGAUUAGAUACCCCAGUA